UACGUAGGGGGCUAGCGUUGUCCGGAUUUACUGGGCGUAAAGAGCGCGCAGGCGGUCGUUCAAGUCGAGUGUGAAAGCCCCCGGCUCAACUGGGGAGGGUCACUCGAUACUGAUCGACUUGAAGGCGGGAGAGGGAAGCGGAAUUCCCGGUGUAGUGGUGAAAUGCGCAGAUAUCAGGAGGAACACCAAUGGCGAAGGCAGCUCGCUGGGACGUGACUGACGCUGAGACGCGAAAGCGUGGGGAGCAAACAGG
rnacentral:rRNA from 1 species